UACGUAGGUGGCAAGCGUUGUCCGGAAUUAUUGGGCGUAAAGGGCGCGUAGGCGGAUGUUUAAGUCAGCGGUGAAAGCCCAGGGCUCAACCUUGGAACUGCCAUUGAUACUGGACAUCUUGAGUACGGGAGAGGUGAGUGGAACUCCGAGUGUAGAGGUGAAAUUCGUAGAUAUUCGGAAGAACACCAGUGGCGAAGGCGACUCACUGGCCCGUUACUGACGCUGAGGCGCGAAAGCGUGGGGAGCAAACAGG
rnacentral:rRNA from 1 species